GCAUGAAAAAUUUCAGAAGCCAUUGAAUGGGAGUUGACAAUUCUGUAACGUGUAAAGUUGGGCAUUUUUCCUUGAGCCAUAUUAGCACCAUCAAAGGUGUCCAUGAGGCUCUUAAUAUUAUAGACACAUAAGAAAGAGAAAUCAAGCAGAAGAAUGGGAGGCAGUAACAUAUUAUGAAGCUUGGAUUCAAAGAGUACCUUGGCAGAGGCAGACCCAAAACAGGAACCCAGCUCUCCAAAUUCCCAGGCCGGUGGACUCCCACAAGUAUACAGGAAGGAAUGACUGAGAAUUAUUUCAAAUUUUGAAUUUAAAAAAUUCAGAGUCAUAAAAUUCUGGCCUUAAUUUUUGAUUUUGAUCCAUAUGAGAGAUGAAACUGACCUGGCAAGAGAUAACUGUAUCUAUCCUCUACCAUCAACAUCCUAACCAAGAAUGAAAAAGUUGCAUCACCC
rnacentral:lncRNA from 1 species